CCACAUUUACAUUUUAAUCAUUACAUUCACAAUUACAUAUUUACAUUUAUCAUCAGAUUAACCGCAUUUGCAUCACUACUAGCGGUAAAGAAAAACAUACAUUUUUCAUCAAAUGUUUGGAACCAUUUUUUUAUAUUGUAUAACAAACCAUAUAACACCUACUAACCAAAGGAUGACCAUGCCAAAGCAGUAAAAGAGCAAACUCAUUUUGGUAAAUACAAAACUGACCCCAAUGCGACUUAUUACAAUAGCCGAAUGCAAAGUCGCGUAGGAUAAACCUUGGAUAAAUGUCGCAUUCUGUGGGUCAGUAAUUUUUGAAAGAAUAGAAUUUGCAAAUGGAUAUGCAAAAUAUGGCAUACCCAGACAAACGUAUAUAAGCAAAAAAUAGUAUUGAACACUUGUUACUUGAUCCCACAAGAAAGCCAAAGACGUGAGAAAUGAGAUGGCAAUGACUUGCAUGAAUAAGGCAAAGACAAAGAGCCUCCGUUCUUCGACAUAUUCUGAAGCGAGAUGGAGACAGAUAAACACCAGCAUUGUAAAUAAGGUACAAUUCAGGAAAACCAACUUGAUGUGAAAAAGUUGUAGAUGAAAAUGAUCCAAUGCUAAUAUUGGGACGUAAAAAGUGGACGUGCUUGAAAAUGCCUCGCUGCAGAAUAUUAGAAAAAAUAGGCAAAAUAUUCUCGGGUCGAAUGACAUACUACUCUGCUUCUCCUCGUAACUAUACUCAGUCAGAUGUCGCUCCUCAUUACACUCACUCAAUGUCUUGUUGUUUUUGUCGUCACUAGCAGAAAUUGAAUCUAGUUCCAUAUGGCGAGUACUGGUUUCCAUCCAAAUGUCUUUGGGUAAGAACAGCGUAGAAACAAGGAAAAGAAGCCAUAUUAUUGACAAUAUAAUCCCGGGUGAAUUGCCCUCAUUUAUUUCCCAACCAAGUAUAUUGGCCCGAAAUGUAAUAAAACUUCCAAUUCCCGGACCAAAUGCAGAGCCAAGACAAUAUACACCUUCUAAAAAUACAAAGCUCUUUCCACGACUUUCUUCGUCUGUCUGUAAUGCAAUUUGUCCCAGGAGGAUCGCUGUUCCCCCACUACCUAAACCUGUUACUAACCUUCCAAAAAGUGGAAAAUAUGCACUCAGAUUAAUACUGUACACGACAUAAGCGACGAUUUUCAUUGCACAACAGCAAAUGAAGAUACUCCUGGGAUUUCCUAGUCGAUCAGUCAUGAAUCCAAACAAAGGUCCACCAAUAAUGGCGCCAGCGUCGUAUGCAGACACCACUAAGGCCAGAAAGAACGUGGUUUGGUCCAGGGAUUUGAUAUAAAGCCAUGCAGUUGGUACAAUACAAUACGUUUCAAAACCACCCAAAAAGAAACGAAGUGCAACGAGUUUCGUAAUCCAGCCAUUUUUGUCCAUUGCAAUUGAAAUGCAGUUAUUCACUGAUC